rnacentral:RNase_P_RNA from 1 species
UCAGUCGGCCGGGCAGCCGCGCCAGUCAUAGGCCGAAAGGCGGCUGGUGAGGAAAGUCCGAGCUUCGCGGAAAUACGGUGCCGGGUAAUGCCCGGCGGGGGCGACCCCAGGGAAAGUGCCACAGAAAGCAAACCGCCUGGUUACAGGUAAGGGUGAAAGGGUAGGGUAAGAGCCUACCGCAUUGCCGGUAACGGCAAUGGCAGGGUAAACCCCGCCGGAAGCAAGACCGAAUAGGGAUAGAAGCGCCUUUUGGCGCAGGCCGAUUUCCGGGCCGCUAUCCGGGUUGGUCGCAUGAGGCAUAUGGUGACAUAUGUCCUAGAGGAAUGGCUGCCAAACAGGGCGCUGAGGCGCUUUGUGAACAGAACUCGGCUUACAGGCCGGCUGACCUU